CGGUGAAUAGCGCAGUUUGGUAGCGCAUCUGGUUUGGGACCAGAGGGUCGGG
rnacentral:tRNA from 2 species